rnacentral:misc_RNA from 1 species
GAAAUGCGAUAAGUAAUGUGAAUUGCAGAAUUCAGUGAAUCAUCGAAUCUUUGAACGCAGCUUGCGCUCCUUGGUAUUCCUUGGAGCAUGCCUGUUUGAGUAUCAUGAAAUCUUCAAAGUAAAUCUUUUGUUAACUCAAUUGGUUUCUACUUUGGUAUUGGAGGUCUUUGCAGCUUCACACCUGCUCCUCUUUGUUCAUUAGCUGGAUCUCAGUGUUAUGCUUGGUUCCACUCGGCGUGAUAAGUUAUCUAUCGCUGAGGACACUGUAAAAGGUGGCCAAGGUAAAUGCAGAUGAACCGCUUCUAAUAGUCCAUUGACUUGGACAAUACUUUUAUGAUCUGAUCUCAAAUCAGGUAGGACUACCCGCUGAACUUAAGC